AGGGAAAUCCGAGGCAAAGAAA
rnacentral:snRNA from 1 species